UAGGGAAUCUUCCGCAAUGGGCGAAAGCCUGACGGAGCAACGCCGCGUGAGUGAUGAAGGUCUUCGGAUCGUAAAACUCUGUUAUUAGGGAAGAACAAAUGUGUAAGUAACUAUGCACGUCUUGACGGUACCUAAUCAGAAAGCCACGGCUAACUACGUGCCAGCAGCCGCGGUAAUACGUAGGUGGCAAGCGUUAUCCGGAAUUAUUGGGCGUAAAGCGCGCAUAGGCGGUUUUUUAAGUCUGAUGUGAAAGCCCACGGCUCAACCGUGGAGGGUCAUUGGAAACUGGAAAACUUGAGUGCAGAAGAGGAAAGUGGAAUUCCAUGUGUAGCGGUGAAAUGCGCAGAGAUAUGGAGGAACACCAGUGGCGAAGGCGACUUUCUGGUCUGUAACUGACGCUGAUGUGCGAAAGCGUGGGGAUCAAAUAGG
rnacentral:rRNA from 1 species